rnacentral:rRNA from 1 species
AAUUUUGGACAAUGGGGGAAACCCUGAUCCAGCCAUCCCGCGUGUAUGAUGAAGGCCUNAGGGUUNUNAAGUCCUUUUGGCAGAGNAGAAAAGGUAACUCCUAAUACGAGAUAAUGCGGACGGUAUCUGCCGAAUAAGCACGGGCUAGCUACGUGCCAGCAGCCGAGGUAAUACGUAGGUUGCAAGCGUUAAUCGGAAUUACUGGGCGUAAAGCGUGAGUAGGCGGUUCGGAAAGAAAACUGUGAAAUCCAAGGGCUCAACCUUGGAACUGCAUUUUUAACUGCCGAGCUAGAGUAUGUCAGAGGGGGGUAGAAUUCCACGUGUAGCAGUGAAAUGCGUAGAUAUGUGGAGGAAUACCGAUGGCGAAGGCAGCCCCCUGGGAUAAUACUGACGCUCAGACACGAAAGCGUGGGGAGCAAACAGG